AUGUUUUAUAUUGUACUUGUCUUUUCUAGGUUGGUUUCAUUGGCCUUCGCAGGGUCAAUUGGUAUGACCUUGGUUAUUCUAGGAUGUGCUCUGCCGUCCUACAAGAUUUGGUGGCCUUUUUUUGUUGUCCUCUUCUAUAUACUUGCACCCCUACCAACUCUGAUUGCUCGCCGCUACAAUGAAAACUCUGGAGCGAGCAGUACAAGUGCUUAUGAGCUGGCAAUAUUUGUUACAAUGGGGUUUGUGGUGUCAUCUUUUGCUCUGCCUAUCGUGUUAGCUCGUUCGCCAUCAAAUGAUCCAGUUAUUCAGUGGGGUGCUUGUUACCUGACAUUAGCAGGGAAUGUUGUUGUCUAUGCAACUCUAGUUGGGUUUUUCAUGACCUUUGAUGCAGAGGACUCCGACUAUACUAUGUGGUGAUUAUGAAAUCAUAAUUGAUGUUGAUCACAUCCUACAUAUUGUGAUUACUGUGGGCUGUUAUUAUUACUUUCUGACUUUUUUGAUACAUGAUCUUGAAGUAAAUAUCAUGUUAUCUUACGUGAAACACAUUAUUUGGUAAACUUGUGAUAGUAAGGGUGGACAGAACUAUUAUGUGCAGUUGGCACAUGAGAGGGCAGUAUUAUGUGAUGUGAGACGAAGUAUUUCAGUUACUUUAUUUUUCGAUAGGCAGUAUAUUUGUAUCACACUUUUCAUUUAUUUAUCAUCAUUAUGUUUUGAUAAUUUUGCUGUUGGUUUUUAGAUUUGUGUACAUAAAUUUGCACUGCAUGCAGCUGAGGAUGGACGCAUUUUUCUGUUUCGAUCAGAAGUUUAUUGAAUAUAGGGACAACAAGAUUCCAUGGACAAAGGUUAAAAUUUUAUAAAUAUAUGAAUAUGAGGGACACUGUUUGUAUGAUAUUUUAAAGUUAAAUCAGUUGAUGUCAGAAUCUCAAUAUACAGCUUUUCUAUGGCUUGAGGACUACGAAGGCGAGAAUUUCAACUCACAUUUGUAAGUUACUGGAUCAGUGAAAAAGGCUGUAAUGCUUAAAUGAAAAUCAGGACUUAUAUAAUUAUUUCUUCAACAACUGUUUCUGUAAGACAUUUGUGUUUCUGAUAUUAGCACAAAAGGCAUUUGUAUUUUUCAUGUGCUGCAGGUGGUUAUUUUAGUGAAACCUGAAGUGAUGACAGAUAACAGUUGCAACUACAUUAUUGUUAAUUUAGUGUGACUGUAGUUGAAUCUCCAGAGUUACUGAUUUCUGAUGUGUAAAUAAAAUUAACUAACUUGUUUAUGUUAACAUAUAAACAUAAGCUUUAAAAUAUUAGUUAUUACUGUUAGAAUAUAUUGAACAUUUUAUUUUCAGUUGUUAAACUGCUUUAUUUAUUAUUUUUGUAGCAAGAAUAGUUUAGUCAGGCAGAAAUGUUGAGUUUUAUUAGGAAGUGAUUGAGUGCUGUUCAUCAUUUCAAAGUAACUCUGCAUUAUCAGAAACAAUAUUUGCAAUUAACUUUUGUAUGAAAUGCAGUACACUGACCAUAGCAUGCGCAAACUCUCUGUAUUCGAUUAGGAUAAUUUUCAUUGUGUCAGCACAGCACGAUUUAACAUUCAGUAAAAUUCUGAAUAGUGCUGUACAAAUGUGUUACAGUGGGUGACAACAUAUGUUUUUCAGAUAUUUUUGUUUCACUCUGAUAGGUUAAAAGGUUUAUAAUUUUGACAUUGACAUUGUUACUUAAGCAAGAUUAGCUUCUGUGAUUCAGAGCAAUAAUGCAAUUGUUAAUAUGGAGACAAUCUACAUUGUAACAAUUAAGAGAAUUUUAGCAGUGCAUGAGAGUAAGUUUGGUGAACAUUCUUAUUGCUUAUAAUGGCAUGUUUUCUUGCCUGCAUUUAAUUUGUACUGUGGAGCCAUUUCUUUGUAUGCAACCCAUUUCUGAAAUGUAUCUAUUGCUGCCAUUGUAAAAGAAAAUUAUGAUAUUGUUAUGAGUCAGAAAA